GACGGAGGGGGCGAGCGUUGUUCGGAAUUAUUGGGCGUAAAGGGCGCGUAGGCGGAUCGGCGGGUCCGGCGUGAAAUCUCCACCACUCAACGGGGAGGCGCCGCUGGAAACUACCGAUCUGGAGUUCGGUAGAGGAGCAUGGAAUUCCGGGUGUAGCGGUGGAAUGCGUAGAUAUCCGGAAGAACACCUGUGGCGAAGGCGGUGCUCUGGGCCGAAACUGACGCUGAGGCGCGAAAGCUAGGGGAGCAAACGGG
rnacentral:rRNA from 1 species